rnacentral:rRNA from 1 species
GUGCCUAAUACAUGCAAGUCGAACGGACAAGUAAGAGCUUGCUCUUAUGAGUUAGUGGCGCACGGGUGAGUAAUGUAUAGCUAAUCUGCCCUACACUAGAGGACAACAGUUGGAAACGACUGCUAAUACUCUAUACUCCUCUCUAGCAUAAGUUAGAUAGGGAAAGUUUUUCGGUGUAGGAUGAGGCUAUAUUGUAUCAGCUAGUUGGUGAGGUAAUGGCUCACCAAGGCUAUGACGCAUAACUGGUCUGAGAGGAUGAUCAGUCACACUGGAACUGAGACACGGUCCAGACUCCUACGGGAGGCAGCAGUAGGGAAUAUUGCUCAAUGGGGGAAACCCUGAAGCAGCAACGCCGCGUGGAGGAUGACACUUUUCGGAGCGUAAACUCCUUUUGUUAGGGAAGAACAAUGACGGUACCUAACGAAUAAGCACCGGCUAACUCCGUGCCAGCGGCCGCGGUAAUACGGAGGGUGCAAGCGUUACUCGGAAUCACUGGGCGUAAAGGACGCGUAGGCGGAUUAUCAAGUCUCUUGUGAAAUCCUAUGGCUUAACCAUAGAACUGCUUGGGAAACUGAUAAUCUAGAGUGAGGGAGAGGCAGAUGGAAUUGGUGGUGUAGGGGUAAAAUCCGUAGAGAUCACCAGGAAUACCCAUUGCGAAGGCGAUC